ensembl:lncRNA
GUCCCAGUCCCGGUCCCGGUCGGUGGGCGCCCGCAGUUGGAAGCUAGAGCGCGUCUCUAGGCCGAGGGCUGUGCCCUGCUCCCCCGUCUGGAGCCCCUCCCGGCCGUGUGCGCCCCUCCUUCUCCUCCGGCGGCGGGAACCGAGCCCCUGCGUCCCUUCCCGCGCGGCGGGCACUGGGCGGCUCUUGGAAAGCGCUUGGGGGGUCGUGUCAAGGCUUCAGAAGGUCCUCCCGCUGGCCGGGAAGUAGCCUAACGCUCCGGCCGGGUAGCUGCUCCAUGGCUGAAACGGCGACGACUGGACGGUGCAGGGAGGUGACCAGAUGUGGACCCGUUUGGAAGACACCUCGGGGCUCAGGGAGGGGCCUCCGGCCCCCACAUUGACCUCCUUCGACAGCAGAGCCCGCCCGGAGUCCACCCUUGUCUGCUGUCCCCUGGGGUGAAGACAUAGAGGAGCUGAUCACUUUCCAAGAGUGACCGACGCCAUCCAGCCACUGCAUGGACCCGAGCUGCGCAGCCGGAGAAGGACAAAGACAGCAGAACCCAGAAGCGUCCAGGUGAAGUGCAGAUGGCAAAGCCAGAGGGUGAGCCUUAACGCAGCUGGAGGAGAAAAGGACCCCUUACCUCAAAGAGCCAGACAGCGAGAAGAGCACCGAGCUUCCAUCAGAAGCUACCAGAGCCAGAGGAAGGGAAAGGAAAACAAAGUCGAUUGCUGUCAGCCAGGUCGUCUAAACCCAGCAAAAAGUGUGCUUUGAGACGAGGUCAAAAGAGACACUUCCCAGGGUCCAGCUCCGAGGACAUUCGUCACCACCGACCCUCCUUGAUGGUAACUGGUGUCCUUCCAGGGGGUCAGGGAUCCUCAUGGGAAGGAAGAACGUGUGGCAGAAGUGUCUGUCGUCCGCAAACCCGAUGGAGAGCGACCCCCACACACAAGAGCGCUCGUGAGGCUUGAGACAGGUCCUGAGACGGAAGCCCCUAAACACAGUUGCCAGGAGUUUCGAGGGGCACAGCGGUGUGCGGGUGGCUGGCUGCCCUGUGCCCUGAGUGGAGCUGCUGCCCGAAGGGACUUCGCAGCUGCGAUUGAGUUAAGGGUCUUACAGUAAGGAGAUGAUCCUGGAUUAUCUGACUGGGCCCUAAUGUCCUUGUCGGGGGGAGAUUUGACAUGACAGAGGCCCCGUGGGGACUUCAGAAGAGAAAGCCUCCUGAAGACUGCCCUAAACUCUGUCUUCGGGACUUGUUUCAAUCAGGCGUGGUUAGAUCAAAGGACACAGACCCCAGAGAAAAGAGGCAGGCCCACACGGGGAGGCCAAGAGCAGAGGAGCAUUAUUAAAGGAUCCCAUGUGCAGGGCAUCUCGAGUGCCCAGCAGCAGCACGCGUCCCCUUUAACAGAGGAAAGGGCAGUGGAAAGCUUUAGAAGCUGGCAUGGGGGUGAGUUGGCCAAGGUGCUUGAAUAAAGGGAGAUUCAGGCCUGGAACGAGACAGAGACCCGCCUGGAGGCCCACUUGCUGGACUGGAGUUUGGAGAAGGCUGCCCGAGGAGGCCCGUCUGUGUCUCAGCUCAGCCCUCUGGGCGCCCUCAGGGCCAGGCUGUGAGACUGACCCUUGUGUGUGUCAGCCCGAAAGAACCAGCUCUCCCUGACCCCGUGUGUGGCCUUCGUGCGCCUGGAGACGUGCAGGAUUUCAGUGUAUUCGUGUGAGACCAGAGAGUCCUAAAGUCCUUCACUCCUAAGCGGGGGUUUUAGGCGAUGCUUGGACAGUGUGAUUGCGUGGGAACAGGCCACUCGGGGGGGCCCGCUGCUGGUGGGUUGAGCUUGGAUUCGUUCCAUCACCAGGGCUGAGGGCCAAGGGCAGCGGGGCUGCGUGGAGCCCUGUCACAGGGUGGGAGGGGUGGUGUGGCUGGAAGCUCCCUUCGCAAGUCCGGGGAUGCCCACACUGAGACUCCGGUCGUCCCCCAGGUGGCUGGGAGGUCUGGGGGGGAAUGCGUUGCCCCCAGACCCAACAGAGACUGAAAGACGCUGGAUCUGUGUGUCCCUCCUCGUCCUUGGAGGAGGGCGUUGCCAUGGUGAGGCCUCACCUGUGCUUGGAGGAGGGCGCUGCUCUGGCCCUGGGCUCAGGGCCAGGCCUGCCCUGGGCAGCCUGGAGUAGUGGAGCUGUCCCUGGGAGUGGAGCCAGUGGUGGGAGAGGAAACCAUUCUGGUUGCUGGCGGCUGAGGCCUCGGCGCUGACGCUGUAGAAUUUCGGGUGUGGGGCCCGGCAGCAGGACCGCUGCGGCAUGGCGUGCUUUUUCCACCUGAAGUUUUCCUGGGAAAAGAACAGGCUGAAUUAGGCUGCAUUCUCCCCUCGAUGCCCUUAGGUUGGUUUUUUCCUUUCAGUCUUUUCGCCUUCUGCACUUAUUUAUUCAUUCGUUUUUCUGCUGGGAUUCUUGUCCCUGCCUCUGGCUGGCGAGAGGGCCAGGGGCCCUGGAAGCGGCACCAGCAGCCUUUCCGCUUCUUCUUUCUCUUAAACAGAAGUCUGUUUUCCCUCUUAAAUGAGCCCGGCCUCUGUCUCAAGCAGCUAAGAACGGUUUGCUUUCAUCUGCCCCCAUCAAUCUCUGACUGUAUUGACGAUUUUCGCUCAUUUCAUGUGUUCUUUCCUGGAGAAGGGAACCAGGGUUCUGGCCUGGAGAACCCCCACGGGUCGCAGAGUCGGCCGCAUUGAGCGACUUUGUCUCACUUUCGCUGUGUUCUUGGUGCUCUGGCCUCUGGGGCCUUGAUCCUGGAGAGGCUACCCCCCAGGACUGCACCCCCUUCCCAGACGGGUCCAGAGCCCUCACCCCAGUGGGCCCUUCACCUGCACUCAUGCGGUGCCUCAUUGUGCCCCCAGUCGCCCCCAGGCUGGCAGUGGACAGCCAGGGGCUGCCCGCGCUCAGGCCGGCCUGAGCCAUUCACGCCGCCCAGCCCUGAGUUUCCUCCGUGGUCCUGUGCUGCUCGCCUCUCCUUCCUGCAACCCCCUGCGAAGGCGCUGGGCCACGCUUUCUUCGCUUCUGCCUCCUGACCCAAACCUCUACUCUGGACGGGCUGCCCCUUCUCUCAAGCAGUGUGAAUAAUAAAUUCUUUGUCCAGAGGCAGUGUCUCCCUCACUUUACCACGUGAUUAAAACAAACCCUGGGCACAAUAUUCGAACAGAGAUGUCGUGCUGAGGCUCUGACGGUGGAGGAGGGGGCCUCGGGCUCCAGAAUGCUGAGAACAGGGCUCGGUCACUGGGCGGGAACGCGGACCUGCCCACAGCCUGAACACACACAGGGGCUCCUGCUGGACGAGACUGGACCGUGACACCGGAGCAAUGGGACUGCGUGGCACUGGGCAAGGAGGCACAGAGGCACCAGGGAAGGUCCACGCAGCAGCCUGGGUUCACACAGGGCCUCAGCCACAUGCCCACGAGGCUUUGUAAAAUUCGCUAAAUGCCAUAUGUAAAGUAGACAGCCAAUGGGAAUUUGCUGUAUGGCUCAGGAAACUCAAACAGGGGCUCUGUAUCAACCCAGAGCGGGUGGGAUGGAGAGGGAAAUGGGAGGGAGGUUCAAGAGGGAGGGGAUCUAUGUACACCUAUGGCUGAUUCAUGCUGAGGUUUGACAGAAAACAAAAUUCUGUAAAGCAAUUAUCCUUCAAUAAAAAAAUUUUUUUAAAACUUGCUAAA